GCUUCCGUAGCUCAGUUGGCCAGAGCGUUGGUCUCAUAUUUCUAUGAUCAAGCGUUUUAACGCCUGAGUAAUCCAAAGGUCGUGAGUUCGAGCCUCCCCGGGAGCA